rnacentral:piRNA from 1 species
UAUAUACAAGAACCCAAACUA